AUUGAACGCUGGCGGCAGGCUUAACACAUGCAAGUCGAGCGGUAACAGAGAGAAGCUUGCUUCUCUGCUGACGAGCGGCGGACGGGUGAGUAAUGCCUAGGAAUCUGCCUAGUAGUGGGGGAUAACUUGCCGAAAGGUAAGCUAAUACCGCAUACGUCCUACGGGGGAAAGGAGGGGACCUUCGGGCCUUUCGCUAUUAGAUGAGCCUAGGUCGGAUUAGUUAGUUGGUGAGGUAAUGGCUCACCAAGACCGCGAUCCGUAACUGGUCUGAGAGGAUGAUCGGGCACACUUGAACUGAGCCACGGGACAGACUCCUACGGGAGGCAGCAGUGGGGAAUAUUGGACAAUGGGGGGAACCCUGUUCCAGCCAUGCCGCGUGAGUGAAGAAGGUCUUAGGAUUGUAAAGCACUUUAAGUUGGGAGGAAGAGCAGUUAACUAAUAUUUGACUGUUUUGACGUUACCGACAGAAUAAGCACCGGCUAACUUCGUGCCAGCCGCCGCGGUAA
rnacentral:rRNA from 1 species